rnacentral:rRNA from 1 species
GAUGAACGCUGACAGAAUGCUUAACACAUGCAAGUCUACUUGAUCCUUCGGGUGAAGGUGGCGGACGGGUGAGUAACGCGUAAAGAACUUGCCUUACAGACUGGGACAACAUUUGGAAACGAAUGCUAAUACCGGAUAUUAUGACUGAGUCGCAUGAUUUGGUUAUGAAAGCUAUAUGCGCUGUGAGAGAGCUUUGCGUCCCAUUAGUUAGUUGGUGAGGUAACGGCUCACCAAGACGAUGAUGGGUAGCCGGCCUGAGAGGGUGAACGGCCACAAGGGGACUGAGACACGGCCCUUACUCCUACGGGAGGCAGCAGUGGGGAAUAUUGGACAAUGGACCAAAAGUCUGAUCCAGCAAUUCUGUGUGCACGAUGAAGUUUUUCGGAAUGUAAAGUGCUUUCAGUUGGGAAGAAGUCAGUGACGGUACCAACAGAAGAAGCGACGGCUAAAUACGUGCCAGCAGCCGCGGUAAUACGUAUGUCGCAAGCGUUAUCCGGAUUUAUUGGGCGUAAAGCGCGUCUAGGCGGUUUAGUAAGUCUGAUGUGAAAAUGCGGGGCUCAACCCCGUAUUGCGUUGGAAACUGCUAAACUAGAGUACUGGAGAGGUAGGCGGAACUACAAGUGUAGAGGUGAAAUUCGUAGAUAUUUGUAGGAAUGCCGAUGGGGAAGCCAGCCCACUGGACAGAUACUGACGCUAAAGCGCGAAAGCGUGGGUAGCAAACAGG